AUGUCCAGUUCUGGCCCAAGUAACUCCAGCAAGUCACUGGGUGGGAGAGGUCUGUCUCCAGGGAAGACAGGUCCUGAAGCUAAAAAAGCUGCAGUAGCUCAUGUGCCCAUCCUGGCCAGCGGCCUCGGCAGCGGUCAUGUCCAUGCCUGGUGCAGCACAUCAGGCUCCAGCCCUGGCCCCAAGCGCUCCACCUGAAGGCCUCGGACAUCACACCUGCCUGGUCAUGGAUCAUAAAAUGUCCGAGCUGGGAAGGGAUAAAGGAAGUAUCUAGUUCCACCUGCUCUCCUAACAGAUGUGGAAAUACAAAUCAAGAGGGGAAUAAGAACUUGCCUGAUGCCACCCAGAUCGUUUACUCUAUAGACAUGUGCCUUGAACUCAGGGAUUUUGGAGCCUGGGUCACAUUAGAAUAGUUUUCUCUACUCUUCAUUUAAUUUUGGAAGCAAAAACUAGCCUUACUCUAGAUAAUUCGGGUCUGCCACAGUACAUGUGACUUUCUCAAGGGAUAAUUUGGUUGGGUACUACAAGAGACCCAAAUAACAUCUGAGGUCUUUGGGCGCUUGGUUAUGCUGGGAGUGGGUAACCCCAACAUGUCAGCAAUUCCAGCCAAGAUCCCUUCAGCCAAAAUAACUGCAUGUCUUUAUUAUUAUUAUUGAUUUAUUCAUGAGCGGCUCAAAGAGAGCCUGAUGCAAGACUCGAUCCCAGGAUUCUAGGAUCAUGACCUGAGCCAAAGGCAGAUGCUCAACCACUGAGCCACCCAGGAGCCCCAUAACUGCAUGCUCUUAAGAUGUCAGAUCCCUACAGAAAAUUACUGUUUUUUUUUUUAAUUAAUCACUGUUGUUUUUAACUUGGAGAUACUCCAUCUAGCUUUAUGCAAGAAAUAUGCUUCUAAAAACUCAUCUAUCUAAUGAAAAUUGAUGCAUAAAUGCUCUGAGUCCAAAUAUCCUUUUAAAAUAUUCACACUAGAGGUAGCCAUAGUUGCAGCUAUGGUGGAAGAAGCAUCCACAGUUAACACAGACCGGUUUGGGUUUUUUUUUUUAUGAAAUUACAUUUUUUCAUUGACUUUCCAUUAUAAUUCCCAUGAAGCAUUAAUGCCUCUUCAUCCCUGAUUGAUCUUUAACUGGUGGUGGCUUUUAACACUUUGGCUUUUUGGUUUCCUACUCUCCCUCCCUAAAAUAGACAGUAUGGGAUCUAUCAGGACACAUUUACACACCCAGGAAUGUAAGCUGCUGGGGGUGGGGGUGGGGGGGAUGCUGGUAUCAGGUGCUUGCUAUUUAAACAGAACUCUGUGGCAAAUCCCUAGAUAAGCCAAAGACUUGUUAUGUAAUAAAAAUAAUUGCCUUUUAAUUGGCCUAUUUGAUUAUUUAUUUUUUUCUCUCAAGCUCCCUUGGGAGGCAGUACAGAACACUGGGAACUAUCCACUGAGUGAAUCCCAUAAUUAAGGCCUGACACUCUGCCAUUUAUUCGCUUUGGGAUUUAGAACAAACCAUUCAAGCACUCUGUGCCUUGAUGUCCCCAACCUGUAAGAUGAAUUGUUGUGAUGAUCAAAUGACUACACAGUCUCCCACCUUCUUCUCCUUUUGUCCUUUCUUUAUUUCUUAAGACAAACUUGCUAGGCUAGAGGGGCUGUUUCAGGACAGGACUCGCCUAGGCCACCUGCUGACCCAUCUUCAGUGGAGAUUUAUUGGCACCACCAUGUGACCCAUCCCUGGCCUUCUGGGUCAGUCACUUCCUCCCCUGGCAUGUCCUUUUCUCCCUGUGAGUAGGUCUUGCAUGUUGCUCUAGCAUCAGUGCCAGAGCAUCUGUAGAACCCAAGCACAAAAGGCAUCUUCAAGGCCCUCAAUCUUGGCAUAUCUUAUGCCCCCCACUGAAGCACCUUCUCCAUUUUGUCCAUUUCGUGAUUUCAGAAAGACUCAACAAAGCACCACCUCUCCUGUGAAACCUUCUCUGCCUAGUGUGCUCUCAUUACUGACUUGAUUUUACAAACAGGGUCCGAUCAUGGGCUCCAUAAAUCUCCACUGAGCUCUCCUGCAGACACAUCUGUCUCUUCAACUAGUCGGUAAGAUCCUUAUGCAGAACAGCCUUGACUUAUUGAACAUGUAUCCCCAGCGUGUAACAUGGCCCCUGAUGCAGUAGGUGCUCAGUAAAAGUUUGUAGAGUAGAUGAAGGAAUGCAUGAAUGAGUGUUGAACUAAAGCUGGCAAUAAGCAGAGUGUAUGGUGCUGAAUAGCACACCCCCAAAUUCAGAACCAUGAGAACCUGUGAAUGUAGCCUUUUCUGGAAAUAGGAUCCUUACAGCUAUAAUCAAGUCACACUGGGCUGGGAGUGCUGUUAUUCAGUGACUGGUAUCCUUGUAAGAAGAAAAUCUGGACACACACACACACACACAUACACACAGAGCAGUUGGUCAUGUGAAGUUGGAGGUAGAGUUUGGAGCCAGGCUGCCUCGUGCCAAGAAAUGCCAAGGAUUAUUGGCAAACACCAGAAGCCAGAAAAGUCAGGGAAGGAUUCCCCACCUAGAAACUUCAGGGGGAGCAUGACCUGCGGACACCUUUAUUUACAAUUUCUAGCCAAUGAGAGGAUACACUUGUAUUGUUUUAAGCCACCCAGCUUAAAACUUGUG
rnacentral:lncRNA from 1 species